AAUGCCUAGGAAUCUGCCUGGUAGUGGGGGAUAACGUUCGGAAACGGACGCUAAUACCGCAUACGUCCUACGGGAGAAAGCAGGGGACCUUUGGGCCUUGCGCUAUCAGAUGAGCCUAGGUCGGAUUAGCUAGUUGGUGAGGUAAUGGCUCACCAAGGCGACGAUCCGUAACUGGUCUGAGAGGAUGAUCAGUCACACUGGAACUGAGACACGGUCCAGACUCCUACGGGAGGCAGCAGUGGGGAAUAUUGGACAAUGGGCGAAAGCCUGAUCCAGCCAUGCCGCGUGUGUGAAGAAGGUCUUCGGAUUGUAAAGCACUUUAAGUUGGGAGGAAGGGUUGUAGAUUAAUACUCUGCAAUUUUGACGUUACCGACAGAAUAAGCACCGGCUAACUCUGUGCCAGCAGCCGCGGUAAUACAGAGGGUGCAAGCGUUAAUCGGAAUUACUGGGCGUAAAGCGCGCGUAGGUGGUUUGUUAAGCUGGAUGUGAAAUCCCCGGGCUCAACCUGGGAACUGCAUUCAAAACUGACUGACUAGAGUAUGGUAGAGGGUGGUGGAAUUUCCUGUGUAGCGGUGAAAUGCGUAGAUAUAGGAAGG
rnacentral:rRNA from 1 species